GAUCUUUUUGUACGGAAAAGGGUCAAAACUACCCUCGAACUAUAGGCUUAUUGUCAAAUAUAUCCUCCGUCCACCUAUUGUGCUAAAAUUGCCCCCGGUGUUUUCUUUUCAGCUCAAGUCUACCCUUAUGACUAAUGGCCAUUUCCAAAAAAAAAGAUUUAUUUAAUAAUGAUGUGGAAGUUUCUCAUUCGUCGAAUUUAAAACACUUGUCCCCAUUAAAACGACCUACCCAUAUGUACGAUUUUCAUAAUAACCCUUCCCGAACCAAAAAUCUAAUAGAUAAAAGGGAACCCCGGCCCCAGGAGACUCUUCUUCUUUCUUUUCUAAGUGUCUUUUCUUCAAAUUAGGGCUCUUCAAAGAAAGAAGAGUCGUGUCAAUGGCUGUAAUAAAAAUUUUAGCUUAUUCCACAAGAAAAUCAGUUCAAAUCUGUAGAGAACUACAAAUUUUGGACAUAAAUAAAUAUCCACAAAUCACUAAAUACCCUCUAAAAUUUCAGAUCUGAAAAUUUUGACUAGCUUAAAUGGCGAACAGCUUUGUUCCUUGCAUUUUCGAGCAACCAAGACAGUAGAUAAACUUGACUUUAGCUUCAAAUAAUAACAAUCAGCAGGUUCCAAGCAACAAUCUCGACUUUCAAAAUAAAACUCUCACAACAACUUUGACAAUUUCAAGCCACAAAUUUGGCCCACCAAAGAUCCUAAUCAGUAGAGUGAUCAAGGAAAGUUUUAAGCACUAAAACUCUUCAAUUCACCAAAAGAUCAUCCUUUCUCAAUUCCACCAAUGAACCGUAUUUUCAAAUGCUCGUACCAAUGAAAUUCGUAAACUCAUAAACAAAGCAUGAACUCAAGUGUAUUUGAUCAAAUAGUGAUACUAUAUUUUAAUUUUCUGAUUUUUUGUUUUCUUUUUGAUUUGAUAAUAAAUUAGUAGGCACUUCAUGUCGGGUUAGUGCAGUUUGGGGUGGGUUAGUUCGAAAAUGGGUACGGAUGGGUCUUUUUAAUGGGAACAUGUGUUUUAUAUUCAGCCAAUGAGAAGUUGUCACGUUAUUAUUAAAUAAAUAUUUUUUUGGUGGAAAUAGUUGUUAGUCCAAAGAGUAGUUAUGAGCCGAAAAGAAAACGUAGGGGGCAAUUUUAGCGCAAUAGGUGGACGGAGGAUAUAUUUAUCCCUAAGCCUAUUAUUCAGAAGUAGUUUUGACCCUUUUCCGCUUUUGUAUUAUUGGUAGAUCAUAUUACCCAUCAAUGGUGUACUAUUUCUCCAAAACAUUAUACAUACAAAAUUAUUAAAUUGUUUAAUAAUGAAUAAUAGAUAAAACUAUAGCAUAUUCAUGGUUCCUUAUAUAAUUGUGAUGUCCUCUUUAUUGUUCAUUUUUCUUAGAAUAAUAUAUGUUUGUUACAUUCAACUUAAUCUUUUAAGUUGUUUUCUAUAAAGAAGUUUAGAGGUUACAGACCAACUUAUUUAUUGUCGUGAGUAAUGCUAAUACAAAUUAACAUAUUGUGCUUUUUCUAAGUUUUUAAACUAAAUACAAAUCCCAUGUUCGAAAUCCAAAUAAGACAUAUUAGGACUUUGUGGGGUGACGUUUCUUUUCUUAUAGAAUUAGUUUUAAAAAAUUAACAAUCAUAUUUUUAGGAAGUUAACUAUUUCCUUUAGUUUAAAUUCUAUAAAUCAAGAUAUUUUUACUAAUAUUUAUGUGAUUUUUACUAAGAUUUUGAUUGUAAUAUGGGUACACGUGCAACGCGUGUAUCCUAAGACUAGUCUAUAUAAAAGAGAGCAAUAGGGAAGUGAGGUGGCACCUCUCUUGAGCCAAGGAUACUAUUUGUCUGUUUGUGACUUUUUUUGCUCAUUCUUUGCUUCUUUUCCUCUUUUCUUAACUGCUUAUUUAUUCUAAAUUUCUCUCUAAGAAAGACUAUGAAUAGUUGUGACUACAUUGAAGAGUUGUAAUAGUAAGGUAACGAAGAGGCACACCUUUUAUUCACAAAUGGAAGAGAUAAACAACAGUUAUGUUCAAUGCUUAUUAGUAAUUACUUUCAAUAAAUAUCCAUAAUCCUUUUAAGACAGUCAGAAACUUUUCAGUUUUUGGUACUAAAUGGAUGAAAUUAAUGGCCAUCUUGCAAACUAUAUUAUGACAUGCGGUGAAAAGAGUGCAAAUGCGGAGAGAUGCGGGCAGGAUAGCAGCAACAGCUAUGAAGGGAAUUCCAAACAACGCUUCUGGCUUCUCCAAUAUCUCGGUUAGUUAGUAGUAGUUCUUUUUCGAUCAACUGUUAUCUUUCUUUUUCUUCUGUUGUAGAAUUAUGCUAUUGUUCUUCUUAGCUUGAAUAAUUGCUCUCUUUUCUCUUCUACUUUUCAAUUUUUUUUAAGCAAAAGCAGAAAAUAAGUAUUUUUUUUAAAGCCGUUGGAUAGAGUUGCCAAACGAUUUCAAAUUCAGCUUUCUUCCUCCAUUUGUGUACCUUCUGGCUUUUAGUUGUGAUUAGUCGAAUAAUAUUAUAUUCUAUAAAAUUGAAGGAAUGCUUUUAUCUUUUUAAUACACCAUUGUUGAAUUUGAGUUUUAUAAAUUUGUGACUGCAUUGUUUUAAAAAAAAAAAAUAGUUGACCACAAUGUGAUUUCAUUGUCUUGAUGAAUUGAAUUUGUAUUUUCGAAUAUCCAGGUUGAUUUUAUAUAUAUAUAUAUAUAUAUAUAUAUAUAUAUAUAUAUAUUUGAUUACGAAAGAAUUUAGAUCUUAUUUUUUUCUAAUUUAGGGUUUCAAGAAUUAGUGUCAUAAUUUAAAUGAGUAGUUUGAAUAUAUACGGGCUUAUUAUAUUAUAUCAUAAAGUACAAAAUUAUAAUAUAAUCUAAAAAUUAUAUAGUUUCCUAAUACGAGAAUUGAAACAUGAAUGAAAGAGGACAAGAGAGAGGAAGUGCAAUUUCCCUUCAAUAAAAGCUUGCUAGAUGAAUAGGCUUCCCGUUAGGACAAAGACUAAAUUUGGAAGUUAAAAGACGAAAUAACUUACCUUUAGUACACACUUUCAUUUAUCAAAAAAAUAGCUUUGAAUGUAUAAGAAGAUUAAUAACCGCUAGGAAUCAAUAAUGUCGAUAACCACGUACAUAUAUAGAGAGAGAGAGGGAGGAGAGGAGGAAAAAGAGGAUGAAAGAAAACAAAAAGGUCAAAAAAGGAAACAAAAGAACUAGCGGCACAAAACAGCAGUGGAGCAAAAAUAAGUUGCUGGAAUUUAGCCAAGGAGCUUUGACAAUGUGAAGCUAUAUCACUAAUUUUGUAAUUUCAAUCUUCUGAAAAGUUAGGUGGCAUUUGUUUGAAAUUUUCUAAAAAAUUGAGCUAGCAAACUCAGUUUUUGAGUAUUUUUUUUGAAAAAGUGUCCGAUAAAUAAAAAAACUCAGAAUUUCAAUUUUUUCAAAAACUCCAAAAACUUUUGAAAGAAUUUAAAAACUCAGUUAAGAAACCUUUAAACAAAAAGUUAAUUUACUCUUAGAAACACUUUUUCCAGAAAUUAAAAAAAAAAAAACUGAUUUUGCAAAUUUAAUUUUAGAAAUCUCAAACAAAGCCACAAGCAAUCUCCCAGGAAGAAUGA
rnacentral:lncRNA from 1 species